UACAGAGGGGGCAAGCGUUGUUCGGAAUUACUGGGCGUAAAGGGCGCGUAGGCGGCCUGCUAAGUCGGACGUGAAAUCCCCGGGCUCAACCCGGGAACUGCGUCCGAUACUGACAGGCUUGAAUCCGGGAGAGGGAUGUGGAAUUCCAGGUGUAGCGGUGAAAUGCGUAGAUAUUGGGAAGAACACCAGUGGCGUAAGCGGCGUGCUGGGCUGUAACUGACACUGAGGAACGAAAGCCAGGGGAGCGAAUGGG
rnacentral:rRNA from 1 species